GACGAACCGUGCGAACGUUGUUCGGAAUCACUGGGCAUAAAGGGCGCGUAGGCGGCUUUUCAAGUCAGGGGUGAAAUCCGGCAGCUCAACUGUCGAAGUGCCCUUGAUACUGAUGAGCUCGAGGGAGGUAGGGGUGUGUGGAACUUCCGGUGGAGCGGUGAAAUGCGUUGAUAUCGGAAGGAACGCCGGUGGCGAAAGCGACGCACUGGACCUCUUCUGACGCUGAGGCGCGAAAGCCAGGGGAGCAAACGGGG
rnacentral:rRNA from 1 species